AUGAACGCUAGCUACAGGCUUAACACAUGCAAGUCGAGGGGCAGCAUGGUCUUAGCUUGCUAAGGCUGAUGGCGACCGGCGCACGGGUGAGUAACACGUAUCCAACCUGCCGUCUACUCUUGGCCAGCCUUCUGAAAGGAAGAUUAAUCCAGGAUGGCAUCAUGAGUUCACAUGUCCGCAUGAUUAAAGGUAUUUUCCGGUAGACGAUGGGGAUGCGUUCCAUUAGAUAGUAGGCGGGGUAACGGCCCACCUAGUCAACGAUGGAUAGGGGUUCUGAGAGGAAGGUCCCCCACAUUGGAACUGAGACACGGUCCAAACUCCUACGGGAGGCAGCAGUGAGGAAUAUUGGUCAAUGGGCGAUGGCCUGAACCAGCCAAGUAGCGUGAAGGAUGACUGCCCUAUGGGUUGUAAACUUCUUUUAUAAAGGAAUAAAGUCGGGUAUGCAUACCCGUUUGCAUGUACUUUAUGAAUAAGGAUCGGCUAACUCCGUGCCAGCAGCCGCGGUAAUACGGAGGAUCCGAGCGUUAUCCGGAUUUAUUGGGUUUAAAGGGAGCGUAGAUGGAUGUUUAAGUCAGUUGUGAAAGUUUGCGGCUCAACCGUAAAAUUGCAGUUGAUACUGGAUGUCUUGAGUGCAGUUGAGGCAGGCGGAAUUCGUGGUGUAGCGGUGAAAUGCUUAGAUAUCACGAAGAACUCCGAUUGCGAAGGCAGCCUGCUAAGCUGCAACUGACAUUGAGGCUCGAAAGUGUGGGUAUCAAACAGGAUUAGAUACCCUGGUAGUCCACACGGUAAACGAUGAAUACUCGCUGUUUGCGAUAUACGGCAAGCGGCCAAGCGAAAGCGUUAAGUAUUCCACCUGGGGAGUACGCCGGCAACGGUGAAACUCAAAGGAAUUGACGGGGGCCCGCACAAGCGGAGGAACAUGUGGUUUAAUUCGAUGAUACGCGAGGAACCUUACCCGGGCUUAACAUCCUUCUGACCUGUCCUUAACCGGACCUUUCCUUCGGGACAGGAGUGACAGGUGGUGCAUGGUUGUCGUCAGCUCGUGUCGUGAGAUGUUGGGUUAAGUCCCGCAACGAGCGCAACCCUUGUUGUCAGUUACUAACAGGUGAUGCUGAGGACUCUGACAAGACUGCCAUCGUAAGAUGUGAGGAAGGUGGGGAUGACGUCAAAUCAGCACGGCCCUUACGUCCGGGGCUACACACGUGUUACAAUGGGGGGUACAGAGGGCCGCUACCACGCGAGUGGAUGCCAAUCCCUAAAACCCCUCUCAGUUCGGACUGGAGUCUGCAACCCGACUCCACGAAGCUGGAUUCGCUAGUAAUCGCGCAUCAGCCACGGCGCGGUGAAUACGUUCCCGGGCCUUGUACACACCGCCCGUCAAGCCAUGGGAGCCGGGGGUACCUGAAGUGCGUAACCGCGAGGGUCGUCCUAGGGUAAAACUGGUGACUGGGGCU
rnacentral:rRNA from 1 species